GACGAACGCUGGCGGCGUGCUUAACACAUGCAAGUCGAACGGAAAGGCCCUGCUUUUGUGGGGUGCUCGAGUGGCGAACGGGUGAGUAACACGUGAGUAACCUGCCCUUGACUUUGGGAUAACUUCAGGAAACUGGGGCUAAUACCGGAUAGGAGCUCCUGCUGCAUGGUGGGGGUUGGAAAGUUUCGGCGGUUGGGGAUGGACUCGCGGCUUAUCAGCUUGUUGGUGGGGUAGUGGCUUACCAAGGCUUUGACGGGUAGCCGGCCUGAGAGGGUGACCGGCCACAUUGGGACUGAGAUACGGCCCAGACUCCUACGGGAGGCAGCAGUGGGGAAUAUUGCACAAUGGGCGGAAGCCUGAUGCAGCAACGCCGCGUGCGGGAUGACGGCCUUCGGGUUGUAAACCGCUUUCGCCUGUGACGAAGCGUGAGUGACGGUAAUGGGUAAAGAAGCACCGGCUAACUACGUGCCAGCAGCCGCGGUGAUACGUAGGGUGCGAGCGUUGUCCGGAUUUAUUGGGCGUAAAGGGCUUGUAGGUGGUUGAUCGCGUCGGAAGUGUAAUCUUGGGGCUUAACCCUGAGCGUGCUUUCGAUACGGGUUGACUUGAGGAAGGUAGGGGAGAAUGGAAUUCCUGGUGGAGCGGUGGAAUGCGCAGAUAUCAGGAGGAACACCAGUGGCGAAGGCGGUUCUCUGGGCCUUUCCUGACGCUGAGGAGCGAAAGCGUGGGGAGCGAACAGGCUUAGAUACCCUGGUAGUCCACGCUGUAAACGGUGGGUACUAGGUGUGGGGUCCAUUCCACGGGUUCCGUGCCGUAGCUAACGCUUUAAGUACCCCGCCUGGGGAGUACGGCCGCAAGGCUAAAACUCAAAGGAAUUGACGGGGCCCCGCACAAGCGGCGGAGCAUGCGGAUUAAUUCGAUGCAACGCGUAGAACCUUACCUGGGUUUGACAUGGAUCGGGAGUGCUCAGAGAUGGGUGUGCCUCUUUUGGGGUCGGUUCACAGGUGGUGCAUGGCUGUCGUCAGCUCGUGUCGUGAGAUGUUGGGUUAAGUCCCGCAACGAGCGCAACCCUUGUUCACUGUUGCCAGCACGUUAUGGUGGGGACUCAGUGGAGACCGCCGGGGUCAACUCGGAGGAAGGUGGGGAUGACGUCAAGUCAUCAUGCCCCUUAUGUCCAGGGCCUCACGCAUGCUACAAUGGCUGGUACAGAGAGUGGCGAGCCUGUGAGGGUGAGCGAAUCUCGGAAAGCCGGUCUCAGUUCGGAUUGGGGUCUGCAACUCGACCUCAUGAAGUCGGAGUCGCUAGUAAUCGCAGAUCAGCAACGCUGCGGUGAAUACGUUCCCGGGGCU
rnacentral:rRNA from 1 species